CGUGUCUGUCAGGAGGUGGUCCUGGAACAGGCUGUGCUUGAGGCCGAACUCGAUGCCGGCCACGCUGGUGACGCCGUCGGAGCCGUUCCAGGCCACGAAGUUGUCCAGGUGGCCAGUGACUUUGGUCUGUUGGAGCCGGGCAGACAGAAGAUGGCCCUCACAGAAAACCCUGGUGGCCCGACCAGCAGGAGAUGCACAGUCUUUCAGGAUGAGGAGGAGAGUCAUGGGGCCCAGAGGUGACCUGGGCGAGCCACUCAGUUCGCAGAAGUGAUCAUCGGACCACCUGUCGUCCCGGUGGCUGAAAAGGAAGGACAACGUGAGAUGCAGGGACGUGCUGGUGACCGUGCAGGGAAGGUGGUCGACCACGCUGGCACAACGCCGUGUGACGGCCAAUGGAGGACUUGCGACCGUCUUUAAAGAACAUGCUGCCUGAACACCAGCGAUGAAGCUACUCAUGACUCAUGAGCUUGGAGAGAAAACCUACAGACAGAGCGGGAGAGCAAGGUCUGAAGUGACCUCGGAGCCACAACCUGGAGCAGCUGGGAAGACAUGGGGACACGACAGUCAGAUGUCAGAAACGCCCGAAAUACACCUACAGGUGGAGCCGGGACCCGUCGGAGCUGCACUGUGGUCGUGGAAGCGCCCGUGACACUUCAUCCACCGGGGGCGAUCUUACCCCCCCGGCGACAUCUUUCUGAUUUGCUGCUUUUAAUCUCCAAUAGAGCCUGCAGGACGAUUUUUCACCUAAACUCGGCCUUGGGUUGAUAAAUGACAACUGCUAAAAACAAAUCUAGUCUCUUUUA